rnacentral:lncRNA from 1 species
AAAAACCAUAAAAACGACUACAAACAAUAAAAUAUGCGAAAAAGCAUAAAAACGACUACAAACACUAAAAUAUGCCAAAAACCAUAUAAACGACUACAAACAAUAAAAUAGGACAAAAAGUAUAAAAACGACUACAAACACUAUAUAAAUGACCCUAAAAUAGGCCAAAAACCAUAAAAACGACUACAAUCACUAAAAUUGGCCAAAAACUUAUUAAACGACCC